UGGGGAAUUUUGGACAAUGGGCGAAAGCCUGAUCCAGCAAUGCCGCGUGUGUGAAGAAGGCCUUCGGGUUGUAAAGCACUUUUGUCCGGAAAGAAAUCCUUGGCUCUAAUACAGUCGGGGGAUGACGGUACCGGAAGAAUAAGCACCGGCUAACUACGUGCCAGCAGCCGCGGUAAUACGUAGGGUGCAAGCGUUAAUCGGAAUUACUGGGCGUAAAGCGUGCGCAGGCGGUUUGCUAAGACCGAUGUGAAAUCCCCGGGCUCAACCUGGGAACUGCAUUGGUGACUGGCAGGCUAGAGUAUGGCAGAGGGGGGUAGAAUUCCACGUGUAGCAGUGAAAUGCGUAGAGAUGUGGAGGAAUACCGAUGGCGAAGGCAGCCCCCUGGCAAGUACUGACGCUCAUGCACGAAAGCGUGGGGAGCAAACAGGAUUAGAUACCCUGGUAGUCCACGCCCUAAACGAUGUCAACUAGUUGUUGGGGAUUCAUUUCCUUAGUAACGUAGCUAACGCGUGAAGUUGACCGCCUGGGGAGUACGGUUGCAAGAUUAAAACUUAAAUAAUUGAC
rnacentral:rRNA from 1 species